rnacentral:rRNA from 1 species
AGAAUGAACGCUGGCGGCAUGCCUAACACAUGCAAGUCGAACGAAACCUUCGGGUUUAGUGGCGCACGGGUGCGUAACGCGUGGGAAUCUACCCCUUGGUUCGGAAUAACAGUUGGAAACGACUGCUAAUACCGGAUGAUGACGUAAGUCCAAAGAUUUAUCGCCGAGGGAUGAGCCCGCGUAGGAUUAGCUAGUUGGUGUGGUAAAGGCGCACCAAGGCGACGAUCCUUAGCUGGUCUGAGAGGAUGAUCAGCCACACUGGGACUGAGACACGGCCCAGACUCCUACGGGAGGCAGCAGUGGGGAAUAUUGGACAAUGGGCGAAAGCCUGAUCCAGCAAUGCCGCGUGAGUGAUGAAGGCCUUAGGGUUGUAAAGCUCUUUUACCCGGGAUGAUAAUGACAGUACCGGGAGAAUAAGCUCCGGCUAACUCCGUGCCAGCAGCCGC